GUAUACCUACGGGGCGCAGCAGUAGGGAAUCUUCCACAAUGGGCGAAAGCCUGAUGGAGCAACGCCGCGUGGGUGAAGAAGGUCUUCGGAUCGUAAAACCCUGUUGUUAGAGAAGAAAGUGCGUGAGAGUAACUGUUCACGUUUCGACGGUAUCUAACCAGAAAGCCACGGCUAACUACGUGCCAGCAGCCGCGGUAAUACGUAGGUGGCAAGCGUUAUCCGGAUUUAUUGGGCGUAAAGGGACCGCAGGCGGUCUUUUAAUUCUGAUGUGAACGCCUUCGGCUUAACCGUAGUAGU
rnacentral:rRNA from 1 species